CUACCGGCGCCGGUAGGUGUCGGCGUUGAAUCCACCGUCCCACCUGGCUUUAAGAUCUGCGCCGCGUUCUCAGGUAUAAUACUCACUGUUUCGAUACACGAGGGAGAGUACCGAAUACCCGCAGGUACGACCUGAUGCCUUGUCUGAUACGCCCACCGUCUGGCCCCACAGAUUCCAAGCAAAAAUAUCGCAUCCCCUUCCUCUCCUGCUUGUUUGCUUCCCGAAAGCAGUUUCUCAGAUCCGCCAUGGAUUCUAUAAGCUCGUCGUUCCUCCCUCCACCUUCGCCUCUCUCCGGUAGUCUGAGAUCGGGCCAUCGAGCGAGGGACGACCUGCAUCGGAUUAUGCAUCGAUUCUCGGGCGACCUGUGUUGGAUUCUCCAUUGAUUCGACCCUGCACGUCGGAUCCUCCAUCGAUUUAAUCAAAGGACAAUGGCGAGGUGCGGUCCAUGUACUAGAAGAUGAGGAAUUGAGGACACAAGGUCAUGGCCAUGGCAUGUCUGACUGAGGAGCUCAAGACGAUGCACAGAAUUUGCAUGGCACAAAAAGCUCUCAGAGAUAUGGGAUGAAGAGCGGCGGCAGGUAGGACAAACAACUAGGGAGCAUCCUCAAUAGCUCCGCCGCCCCAACAACCAGCGAUGGGUGGUAUAGUGUGGUUGCACUAUCUCACUAUCUCGAUUUUUGUUGUGUUUCCUAUUUGAUUGUGCGGACAUUUUUCAUACUCCCGGAAAUAUUUGUGGAACUUGCAUGCCUUAUCUGAAACGCAGAAGGUUUGUGGUGUAUUUCUAGAAUAGAACAUUUUUGUGGAAAUGCUCUGAUAUCUCUAUAUAUGUAUGGCAUGUCAUUUGAUGUAUGGAACAAUUCUGGAACGAAUCAUGUACUAAAACAACUGGUUUAUUGAAACUUAGUGAAACUUGUAUUCUUCGUA